UGAGACGCUGGCGGCGUGCCUACACUGCGUCGAGCGGACUCUUGUUUUUGCUUCGCUCUCUGGGAGUUGGGGGCGGAUGGGUGAGUAACGUGUGCCCAACCUGGCCUGUAGUUUGUGAUAACUCCGGGCUAACGGGGCUCCGCCGAAUAAUACUUUCUGACUCAUGUUAAAUUUUUGAAAGAUGGUUCUGCUAUCGCUACAUGAUGGGCCCGCGGCGCAUUAGCUAGUUGGUGAGGUAACGGCUCUCCCAGGCGACAAUGCAUAACCCACCUGACCGGGUGAUCGGCCACCCUGACUCUGAUACACGGCCCAGACUCCUACGGUAUGCAACAGUGGGGAAUCUUCCACAAUGGCCGAACCCCUGAUGGAGCAACGCCGCGUGAGUGAAAAAGGAUUUCUGUUCGUAAAACUCUGUUGUAAGGGAACAACAAGUACAUUAGUUACUGGCUGUACCUUGAACGUACCUUAUUAUAACGCCACGCCUAACUACGUGCCACCCGCCGCGGUA
rnacentral:rRNA from 1 species